UAGGGAAUCUUCGGCAAUGGACGGAAGUCUGACCGAGCAACGCCGCGUGAGUGAAGAAGGUCUUCGGAUCGUAAAGCUCUGUUGUUAGAGAAGAACGCUGGUAGGAGUGGAAAAUCUACCAAGUGACGGUAACUAACCAGAAAGGGACGGCUAACUACGUGCCAGCAGCCGCGGUACUACGUAGGUCCCGAGCGUUGUCCGGAUUUAUUGGGCGUAAAGCGAGCGCAGGCGGUUCUUUAAGUCUGAAGUUAAAGGCAGUGGCUUAACCAUUGUACGCUUUGGAAACUGGAGGACUUGAGUGCAGAAGGUGAGAGUGGAAUUCCAUGUGUAGAGGUGAAAUGCGUAAGUAUAUGGAGGAACACCGGUGGCGAAAGCGGCUCUCUGGUCUGUAACUGACGCUGAGGCUCGAAAGCGUGAGGAGCAAACAGG
rnacentral:rRNA from 1 species